UCCGCGCAUGCGCACUGGCGGCUCCUCUUCAGCGCCGCAGUUCGACGGCGGGACGCUUCUGCGCAGAAGCGGAAGCGGCGCCAACAGGCGGAAUCUGUCUCUGGACUCUACCGAUCACUAUCGAUAAAAAAUGGUUUCGAUUGAUUGUAAAAUGCCCGCGUGACGCGGUCAGGAGGCGGAGAUGUUUGGAGGAAACGCCGAAGGUCGGCAGACACUUUCCCGCUUCAGUUCAGGACCCGGAAGGAGCGUCAGGAAGCGUCAUGGUCGAAAUUGAUAACAGUGAGGCCAGAUUCCUGGUCUGCAGAUGAGCCUGAAGAGGAGCAAAGGAUUCUGGGAUAUCUUUGGGACGUCUGAACUUCCUGUUGGUGACGCGACGCAGCGACGACACAACAAGACGUUUGUGUCUGAACGGUUUGGCUCCUUUUGACUCCAAUAGAAAAAUCCAGAACAUCCCAACAUUUCCCAAACAUCCAGAAUCUGUAAACAGGAAGUCAUCGCUUUGUUUCCAAUUUAACAUCAGUCUGAUCAUAAAGUCUGCAGUCAGUUCAGUCCAGAUGGAUUCAUAUGGUCUUUGGAUGAAAUGUCUUAUUAGGAUUGUCUGCAGAACACAGUCAUGAUUCUGUUUCUGCAGAGAAUAAAAAAAUCUGUAUUUCUACUAAAAACUGAACAAAAACAACGAAAAACGUCGUCCUAAAACCCAACAAA